GGAGCUGUGGCUCAGUGGUAGAGCACUCGCCUAGCAUGUGCGAGGCCCUGGGUUCAAUCCUCAGCAGCACCA
rnacentral:tRNA from 1 species